rnacentral:rRNA from 1 species
CUGGCUCAGGAUGAACGCUAGCUACAGGCUUAACACAUGCAAGUCGAGGGGCAGCGAUGAAGAAAGCUUGCUUUCUUCAGGCGGCGACCGGCGCACGGGUGAGUAACGCGUAUCGAACCUGCCUCAUACUCGGGAAUAGCCUUGCGAAAGUAAGAUUAAUGCCCGAUGUUAUUAGGAUAUCACAUGAUGUUUUAAUUAAAGAUUUAUCGGUAUGAGAUGGCGAUGCGUCCCAUUAGUUUGUUGGCGGGGUAACGGCCCACCAAGACAUCGAUGGGUAGGGGUUCUGAGAGGAAGGUCCCCCACAUUGGAACUGAGACACGGUCCAAACUCCUACGGGAGGCAGCAGUGAGGAAUAUUGGUCAAUGGACGCAAGUCUGAACCAGCCAAGUAGCGUGCAGGAUGACGGCCCUCUGGGUUGUAAACUGCUUUUAGUUGGGAAUAAAGUGCACCACGUGUGGUGUUUUGUAUGUACCAUCAGAAAAAGGACCGGCUAAUUCCGUGCCAGCAGCCGCGGUAAUACGGAAGGUCCAGGCGUUAUCCGGAUUUAUUGGGUUUAAAGGGAGCGCAGGCGGACCUUUAAGUCAGCUGUGAAAUACGGCGGCUCAACCGUCGAACUGCAGUUGAUACUGGAGGUCUUGAGUGCACACAGGGAUACUGGAAUUCAUGGUGUAGCGGUGAAAUGCUCAGAUAUCAUGAAGAACUCCGAUCGCGAAGGCAGGUAUCCGGGGUGCAACUGACGCUGAGGCUCGAAAGUGCGGGUAUCAAACAGGAUUAGAUACCCUGGUAGUCCGCACAGUAAACGAUGAAUACUCGCGAUUUGCGAUACACAGUAAGUCGCCAAGCGAAAGCGUUAAGUAUUCCACCUGGGGAGUACGCCGGCAACGGUGAAACUCAAAGGAAUUGACGGGGGCCCG